CAUGUAAAUACCGUAGAAGUUUUCUGGUUAAUUAAUUUCAAUUUGUUUGCUCUUCUUCCAUAUGUUAUCUUCAAUUUGUAUACUCCCCAGUUUAGAAUCUCUUCUCCCCUCUUUGAAAUUUCGUAUGAUCAUAAACCGUGUUGACUUUCCUGUUCUUUCUUUAUAUUCAUUGCAUGAAGUUCAUAAAUAUGAAACCCGAUAAUUCCUUUUGCGUUAAUCGAUGAUGCGUAUCUGGUGGCGAUUUUUGUCCGUCCUCCCUCAUUACACAUAAUCAGUAGCUUAGAGGAGUCUGAAGAGCUUCUGUCAAUGCAGCUUGUUGCAUUUCGGAAUGAAGCUUAUGUACUAGCUAGGUCAGUUUCACCGCCCAUUGACCGGGUCUUGUGCUUUGCCGCAAUUCAAUGAUCGUGUUUGGACGUGGAAGAUUGGCCAUGGAAUGAAGAACGCGGUUGAGCUUGAGAUGUAUAGUCGGAGAUGCAAGUGGGCUAUAAACACCAGAUUUAACACUUGGAACACUGGCUUUCUCCUCGUCACCAUUCGGCUGCAAGUUUGAACAUUUAUGUUCCUAUUAAAACGCAUUGUAUUUGUAGCAUGUAUUUAAGUGUACAAAGUAGGUAUUGAUUACCAACUCUGAUUAAUUACUGGUUUCCAAUAGAAUGAUUAAUAGAAACAUAGAGAGAUUAUUUUUUUAGCAUA